rnacentral:rRNA from 1 species
AGUGAACGCUGGCGGUAGGCCUAACACAUGCAAGUCGAACGGCAGCACAGUAAGAGCUUGCUCUUACGGGUGGCGAGUGGCGGACGGGUGAGGAAUACAUCGGAAUCUACUUUUUCGUGGGGGAUAACGUAGGGAAACUUACGCUAAUACCGCAUACGACCUACGGGUGAAAGCAGGGGAUCUUCGGACCUUGCGCGAUUGAAUGAGCCGAUGUCGGAUUAGCUAGUUGGCGGGGUAAAGGCCCACCAAGGCGACGAUCCGUAGCUGGUCUGAGAGGAUGAUCAGCCACAAUGGAACUGAGACACGGUCCCGACUCCUACGGGAGGCAGCAGUGGGGAAUAUUGGACAAUGGGCGCAAACCUGAUCCAGCCAUACCGCGUGAGUGAAGAAGGCCUUCGGGUUGUAAAGCCCUUUUGUUAGGAAAGAAAAGCAGCAGGUUAAUACCCCGCUGUUCUGACGGUACCCAAAGAAUAAGCACCGGCUAACUUCGUG